rnacentral:lncRNA from 1 species
UACUAUAAAACAGAUGCUCUCCUGAUGGCCCAUUCCUGGACAUUCCUGAGGACUCAUAAUCAGAGUGGUACAACCCUCCUCAUCUCUCCUCCCACCUCUUCCCUAUGACAUCUGAUUCUGUGUUGAGAAACUUUCAACAGAAGAAGUUAGUGAGAUAAUCACGAGGUAACAUUUUAUUAAAUAACUUCUAAAUUUUUCUUCUUCGCUUUUUCUUUUUCCAAUCCUCCAACUAAUUACCAAUAUAAAUCAUGCGAGGUACUUAGAAAGUGCUGUGCUUUAUAUCCAUUGCUUUUAUCUGGACUCCAGCCAAUUUUACUUUUCAACUUGGUACAAUUUGGGUAGAAUCUAACCUAAUCUCAGUGCAAGCAAUAGAUUGUUUCCCCAAUAUCUCAUAAUACUAUUCUUGAUAUAAUAUCCAUUUUUAAUAGUUUCUCUAUGUAAGUUCUAGAGCAUGAAAUAAUUUAUAUAAUUCAUAUGAAUAGGAAGCUUAUUGCAAAAUCUUUAAUCCAAUAUUGUAAAUAAAUACCUUUUCUGUAUAUUUUUGAAAAUAAUGCUCUCAGUUCAUCAGAAUUAUUCUUUUGGUUUUGUUAGUAACGUUCUAAAGUACUCAAGUAUUCUGUAUUUAAAGAAAUAAAAUAGCAAAACACUAUCAACUAAAAAUCUGUAAUGUGAUUCAUUUCUGGUACAGCAACUUUUAGUCAAAUUAUAUAAAAAAUAAUGUAGAAUUUCAAUAUUGUAUUUUCCUGUUGAUGUUUUGAAUAUGUUAGAAUACUGAAGUCUAUAGUGGUUUUCAAAUAAGUACAUAAUGGACAGAUUUUUGAAGAAAUAAUUGAAGAAACAUGUUACUCUCUUAUAGUAUUUAAUCCAUGAUCUAAAAUGAAAUGGUGAACGAUGAAAUUAAAACAUCAAAUGGAAAGAAUUCUUUUUUAACAAUAAAAUUAUGUUUUAAAAUCAAUUGAUUAUUUACAUUGCUCUUUCAAACUCUUGCCCCAGGAUAAUAUUUUUUUCUUAAAAUAUAUGUAAAAUUUAUAAAAUAUAAUCAGAGAUUACAUAAGAAAUAUUUAUCAAUUUCUCCCAAUUAUACUUAAUUUUUAAAUAGAAAAUGUAAGUUCAAUAGAGACUGCAUGUAAAAUUAUAGACAAUUUUAUGAAUAGCAGAUAUAGAAUAACAUUUUGCAUGUACAUGUAUAAAUAACAUUUACAGAAUACUUAGUAUUCCAUUUUAUGAGUAUAAUCAUCAGAACCAUAUAUCACAUAUAUAUACAUGACACCUAAAAUAACCUUAGUUAUAAUUUUAAAGUAAGCAAAGCAUACACUUAAAUAUGAUAGAGUUUUAAAUUUAGAUUUAAAUCUAAUUUGGAUAUGCACAUAGCAUGAUUCUAUCAUUUGAGAAGAAAUAGCACAUGAUAUUAUAUAUUAUAAAUUAUGUGAUACAAAUAUAUCUCUGUGGUUAUUUUAUGUGUUGAGGAUUUAACAAACCUUUAUUAAAUAAAGGUGUCAAUGUGUAGAAGGCAUAUUAUUACCUG